GAUGUAGCUGCUGGUUCUGCAGAAAGAGGGCGCUCUUCUUACUAAAUACUGUGGAAAACAAUAUUGAUCCUUUAUUGACACUUUUCAGGGAAAUUAUUUCUGCUGCACGUUUAACUGAAGCCUUCAGGCUCUUCAUCGAGAGGAAGAGGAGGGUACAUGGGAGGAGUGAUCGGAACUGUGACCCAGUUCAGACCAGAAGACUCCAUCUGAGAAUGGGGACGGAACAUUGAAGCUUGAUCAUUUCUUCAGUCAUUCAGCUGAGUUUCUGCAGUUAGACCAGGAGGAGAGAGGGAGCGGCUCAGGAAGGAAGGAAGGAAGGAAGGAAGGAAGGAAGAGGGUGGGCUGCUCAGGAGGUUCGGGCAUCUGGCUGGAUUCGAGGAAGAUAAGAAGAACAGGAGAGGAAGAAAACUGGAUGCGCGUAAAGUUUCUACAAGCAAAGAACUAAAGAGAGAGAGACAGGCGGGUUGGAAGAGGAGAGGAGGAAUUAUUUUCUACCGGAAAAGGAGGAAUUCUGCAGGGAGCAGCAGGAAUGUUACCGGAGCUGAAAGCAGCACACAGCACCAACAUCAGCAGAAGAUCCGAUACUGCUGCUAUCAGAACCACGGCCAGGACGUCACAUCCACACAAUAAAUUCAUGUCUAAAAUAAA